CGAUAGCGCUGGCCCAAGUGCGAAAAUCUCAUCAGUUUAAGCCGUAUAAUAUUCUUGAUGAUGCGAAGAAUAUUAUACGGCUUAAACCAGUUGGAUUUUUGCACUUGGGCCAGCGCUAUCGCUGGAAAUGCAAUUUACUCAUUUUUUGAGCUGUUCCAGUUUAGCUCAGUUUUGUGUGAAUCUUACUCAUUUUAGAGUAACAUUUUCUUAGCGUGUGUACUCAUUUCAGCUAAGCUGUUUUGUGUGAAUCUUACUCAUUUUAGAGUAACAUUUUCUUAGCGUGUGCGUGAAUCUUACUCGUUUUAAAGUAAGUGUACUCUUACUCAUUUUAGAGUAACUUUUUCUUAGCGUGCGUGCACGUAUUGGUAAAUAGAAAAGGGGUCGAUAAAAGAAUCUCAAAUAGAUGGGCGUGUUCUUUCUACUGCACUGAAAAAUAUUUCUACACUCAAAAUAAUCCAAACGUCAUUGCCACGUGAAGAAUCACGUAAAUCGCUAGGAAUGAACUUUUUCUUAAAUUCACCUGAUAAAGGUAACAGUUACCGGCCGCUAAAUAAGAAUGAACUGCAGCUCCGAUCAUUUUUACUGUGGUUGACCUAUCUCACCUACGUGAAAAUCGCGUGCAUGCUUCAAUUCAUUCUGAUCGACUUCAUUCCAUGGUUCAUUCUGUGUUGUGAUAAAGUUUAAAGAUGGCUGCCAUUCAAAACAGACUUUAGUGGAGCGAUGUUUUACAAAACUUAUUUGAUAAUUUGGAAGGUAGGUUGGAUAUUUUUUCUGUUUAAUCUAUUCUUUAUAAUCCUCUUCCUUCACAGAGCAUGACUUUUUACAAAUACUUAAUCGCAAAAUGGGUAUGUGAGUUCAAAAUGUCACGAAGAAAUAACCGGCUGAUCUUGUGGAGAAAAAUCUAUCAUGAACAUUUUUUUGUUCGUUUAGAACUAAAGAGACUAUCGCUGACGACUACCUCGAUGAAGGCUUUUGUCUCCUCCUGUUGCCAUUUGCGAUCCUGCUUCCUCCUGCAGCGAUGGAACUACGCCGUAAAUCAAGAGCGUUCAUGAGCGCAUAACUAUUCGACUAUAUAUUUCGACCAUAUUAAUAACUUUCCUUUAGUUCAGCAAUAAAAGUCUUGUUAAUUUUA